GAAAGACACCAAGCUGAGUAGA
rnacentral:miRNA from 1 species